rnacentral:lncRNA from 1 species
CUGUAGGUUCAAGCUGCUUUUGGCCGUGAAGCACGCAAAGUUCUGCUGUUAGUAGGCGUGUAGGGAGGAGGCAUUGUCUGGGCUGUACGUUAAGCGAAAUUGCCCUCUUUGAGCAACGUGCUGUGCUUCCUGGAAAGCUUACAUCGAAUCUUUUGCCUGUCCGGAGGGGAAGACCUGGCCGUUGCAGGCCGUAGUCAACAGUGAAUCAACCAAACAAAUAAUUUGGCAUUUUAAAACUGUUCCGUACCUUGACAGCCAAACGUUUUUGGUGCUUUUUGACAAGUAAUAACAAGGACGCUUGGAAUGGAAUAAACAAAGAAUGGCACCUGGGAGAGAAAGUGAUGCAGCGUUUGUUUACAUUUCCCAGAGCGUAGUUUUCAUUAUUCUUUGUUAAACACAGAUUCACUCAUGAGAGUGACAGAGUUUCUGUUUCCAGGAUUUCGGCACAAGAAGAGAGACUGGCUUGAUGAAACGAUAGGAGAAAUGGAAGCUUCAGUUCAAGAUCACCUGAAUCCAGCUAAGAUCAUUGCGAUGGAGGAGCUACCACUGAUGAGUGAGCACUAUAUGGGCAGUGAGUUGAGGUGAGAACAAAUCCUGCUUUCAUGGAAUACAUUGGUUUUUAAAUCAGGAAAAUAUUGCUAGUCAGAAGAUUCUGUAAACCAUUUUAAAUACUCUAGUUAUAUGCUUCGUAAUGAAUAAAGGGUAGGCAAUUUUAAGCAGGAUAUAGGAUUAGAGAGAUAAAAUUAUAACUGGGAAAAUGAAAUAAUUUAUUUGGAGAAAACUGUGAGGAUGAAAAAAAAAAAAAAAAAGGAAAAAAGAUGGCCUUUACCAAAGCUUGCUUUUAAAACUUCUAAUACAAAGAAGAUGAUCUUGAAAGAACCAUCACACUUACAUAAUCACAGGAAGUAACUUAUUUACUGUUUUUUGUUCCAAAUAUAAAUAGAUAAAAGAUAAAACCCAUAUGAAAGUAUUAAUGUUCACCUAGCAUGAUUUCCUGAAUAAUAUGGACUAUGGAAUUUAACCAGUAUUAACCAGUACUUGGUAACUACUGACCUGUACUGAAACUAAGAAACAAAGAACAAUUGUGUCUUUUACUAUCACAGACUAAGGAGCUAAUGUGAAAAGAAAUAUGAUGUCAUUAAAGAUAUGCUUUGUAAGAAAUCUAUCAAAAAGAGUCAGACAGAUUAAGUAUUAAAAAUUUAUAAUCAUCUUCAUAUGAAAAGGAUGUCCCUGGCUCCCUUAUUUGUCAUUGUCCUCAAUUAAGUAGGAAAUAGGGCUCUUCAGUGAGUUCUGCAC